UGGGGAAUAUUGCACAAUGGACGAAAGUCUGAUGCAGCAACGCCGCGUGGAGGAUGACACAUUUCGGUGCGUAAACUCCUUUUAUAUAGGAAGAUAAUGACGGUACUAUAUGAAUAAGCACCGGCUAACUCCGUGCCAGCAGCCGCGGUAAUACGGAGGGUGCACGCGUUACUCGGAAUCACUGGGCGUAAAGAGCGUGUAGGCGGAUAUAUAAGUCAGAAGUGAAAUCCAAUAGCUUAACUAUUGAACUGCUUUUGAAACUGUAUAUCUAGAAUGUGGGAGAGGUAGAUGGAAUUUCUGGUGUAGGGGUAAAAUCCGUAGAGAUCAGAAGGAAUACCGAUUGCGAAGGCGAUCUACUGGAACAUUAUUGACGCUGAGACGCGAAAGCGUGGGGAGCAAACA
rnacentral:rRNA from 1 species